rnacentral:rRNA from 1 species
GACGAACGCUGGCGGCGUGCCUAAUACAUGCAAGUCGAACGCAGUGGGGACGGGUGAGUAACACGUGGGUAACCUCCCAUCAGAGGGGAUAACACUUGGAAACAGGUGCUAAACCGCUACUGAUGGAUGGCCCCGCGGUGCAUUAGCUAGUUGGUGAGGUAACGGCUCACCAAGGCCACGAUGCAUAGCCGACCUGGGAGGGUGGUCGGCCGAACUGGGACUGGGACACGGCCCAGACUCCUGCGGGAGGCAGCAGUAGGGAAUCUGCGGCAAUGGACGAAAGUCGGACCGAGCAACGCCGCGUGAGUGAAGAGGGUUUUCGGAGCGUAAAACUCGGUUGUGAGGGAAGCGGUAUCUAACCAGAGAGCCACGGCUAACAACGCGCCAGCCGCCGCGGUAAUUC